rnacentral:rRNA from 1 species
UACGAGGGGGGCAAGCGUUGUUCGGAAUUAUUGGGCGUAAAGGGCGCGUAGGCGGUUUGACAAGUCUGUCGUGAAAUCCCCGGGCUCAACCUGGGAAUGGCGAUGGAAACUGGGCAGCUAGAGUGUGUCAGAGGAUGGUGGAAUUCCCGGUGUAGCGGUGAAAUGCGUAGAGAUCGGGAGGAACAUCAGUGGCGAAGGCGGCCAUCUGGGACAACACUGACGCUGAAGCACGAAAGCGUGGGGAGCAAACAGG